UACAGAGGUGGCAAGCGUUGUUCGGAAUUACUGGGCGUAAAGGGCGCGUAGGCGGUACUUCAAGUCAGGCGUGAAAGCCCCGGGCUCAACCUGGGAACCGCGCUUGAGACUGGAGAACUAGAGUUCGGGAGAGGAUGGUGGAAUUCCCAGUGUAGAGGUGAAAUUCGUAGAUAUUGGGAAGAACACCGGUGGCGAAGGCGGCAUCCUGGACCGACACUGACGCUGAGGAGCGAAGCCAGGGAGCAAACGGG
rnacentral:rRNA from 1 species